UCUGGUUGAUCCUGCCAGUAGUCAUAUGCUUGUCUCAAAGAUUAAGCCAUGCAUGUCUAAGUAUAAAUAGUAUACAGUGAAACUGCGAAUGGCUCAUUAAAACAGUUAUAGUUUAUUUGAUAAUUGACAAUUACAUGGAUAACCGUGGUAAUUCUAGAGCUAAUACAUGCUUAAACGCCCGACUUUAUGGAAGGGUGGUAUUUAUUAGACUGAAGCCAAUAUUCCUUGUGUCUAUUGCGGUGAUUCAUAAUAACUGAUCGAAUCUCUUUUUGAGAUAAAUCAUUCAAGUUUCUGCCCUAUCAGCUUUCGAUGGUAGUGUAUUGGACUACCAUGGCAGUAACGGGUAACGAAGAAUUAGGGUUCGAUUUCGGAGAGGGAGCAUGAGAAACGGCUACCACAUCUAAGGAAGGCAGCAGGCGCGUAAAUUACCCAAUCCUGACUCAGGGAGGUAGUGACAAGAAAUAGCAAACCGGGAACCUCAUGGUUUCACGGUAUUGCAAUGAGAACAAUUUAAAAACCCUUAGCGAGAAUCAAGUGGAGGACAAGUCUGGUGCCAGCACCCGCGGUAAUUCCAGCUCCACUAGCGUAUAUUAAAGUUGUUGCAGUUAAAAAGCUCGUAGUUGAACCUCUGUCUGGGGCUAGUUUUGGCUUUGGUCAGGCUAGUUCUAGGCAUCCGCCUACAAGACUUAGAGGGCAUUCAGUUGUUCACUAGGAGGAGUAGGCAUUUUACUUUGAAAAAAUUAGAGUGUUUAAGGCAGGCAAUCGCCCGCAUAUAUUAGCAUGGAAUAAUAGAAUAGGACACUUUUCCAUUUCGUUGGUUAUUGGAAUCGUGUAAUGAUUAAUAGGGACAGUUGUGGGCAUUUGUAUUUAAUUGUCAGAGGUGAAAUUCUUGGAUUUAUUAAAGACAAACUAACGCGAAAGCAUUUGCCAAGGAUGUUUUCAUUAAUCAAGAACGAAAGUUAGGGGAUCAAAGACGAUCAGAUACCGUCCUAGUCUUAACUAUAAACUAUUCCGACUCAAUGUUUGACUGGCUUAUAUAACCAGUUGAGCGUUGUAUGAGAAAUCAAAGUCUUUAGGUUCUGGGGGGAGUAUGGUUGCAAAGCUGAAACUUAAAGGAAUUGACGGAAGAGCACAACCAGGAGUGGAUUCUGCGGCUUAAUUUGACUCAACACGGGGAAACUUACCAGGUUAAAACAAUAGUGGGAUUGACAGUUUGAGAGCGCUUUCUUGAUUGGUUGGGUGGUGGUGCAUGGCCGUUCUUAGUUGGUGGAGUGAUUUGUCUGCUUAAUUGCGUUAACGAACGAGACCUUAACCUGC
rnacentral:rRNA from 1 species